GCCUUCGUGGUGUAGUGGUCAGCACGCUCGACGCGUAUUCGAGAGGUCCGUGGUUCGAAUCCCGGUGAGGGCA
rnacentral:tRNA from 1 species